rnacentral:rRNA from 1 species
AGAGUUUGAUUCUGGCUCAGGACGAACGCUGGCGGCGUGCCUAAUACAUGCAAGUCGAGCGAGCUUGCCUAGAUGAUUUUAGUGCUUGCACUAAAUGAAACUAGAUACAAGCGAGCGGCGGACGGGUGAGUAACACGUGGGUAACCUGCCCAAGAGACUGGGAUAACACCUGGAAACAGAUGCUAAUACCGGAUAACAACACGGGAGGGGUGUCUAGAGUUUGAAAGAUGGUUCUGCUAUCACUCUUGGAUGGACCUGCGGUGCAUUAGCUAGUUGGUAAGGUAACGGCUUACCAAGGCAAUGAUGCAUAGCCGAGUUGAGAGACUGAUCGGCCACAUUGGGACUGAGACACGGCCCAAACUCCUACGGGAGGCAGCAGUAGGGAAUCUUCCACAAUGGACGAAAGUCUGAUGGAGCAACGCCGCGUGAGUGAAGAAGGGUUUUCGGCUCGUAAAGCUCUGUUGGUAGUGAAGAAAGAUAGAGGUAGUAACUGGCCUUUAUUUGACGGUAAUUACUUAGAAAGUCACGGCUAACUACGUGCCAGCAGCCGCGGUAAUACGUAGGUGGCAAGCGUUGUCCGGAUUUAUUGGGCGUAAAGCGAGUGCAGGCGGUUCAAUAAGUCUGAUGUGAAAGCCCUCGGCUCAACCGGAGAAUUGCAUCAGAAACUGUUGAACUUGAGUGCAGAAGAGGAGAGUGGAACUCCAUGUGUAGCGGUGGAAUGCGUAGAUAUAUGGAAGAACACCAGUGGCGAAGGCGGCUCUCUGGUCUGCAACUGACGCUGAGGCUCGAAAGCAUGGGUAGCGAACAGAAUUAGAUACCCUGGUAGUCCAUGCCGUAAACG